rnacentral:tRNA from 1 species
AGUCCCGUGGUGAAGAGCACAUCAGAUUGCAAAUUUGAAGGCGUAGAUUAAUACUCUACCGGGGCUU